UAGGCUACAGUAGAUUACAGUAGACUACAAUAGGCUACAGUAGACUGACUACAUUAGGCUACAGUGUAUUACAUUAGGCUACAGUAUAUUAGAUUAGGCUACAUUAGGCUACAGUAGACUACAGUAGGCUGCAGUAGACUGACUACAUUAGGCUACAGCAGGGUAUGUUAGGCUACAGUAGAUUACAGUAGACUACAGUAGACUGCAGUAGAUUACAGCAGAUGACAGUAGGCUGCAUUAGACUGACUACAUUAGGCUACAGUAGAUUACAGUAGACUACAGUAGGCUGCAGUAGAUUACAGCAGACGACAGUAGGCUGCAGUAGACUGACUACAUUAGGCUACAGUAGACUACAUUAGGCUACAGCAGGAUAUGUUAUGCUACAGUAGAAAGUAAAAGUGAGAAACGUCUAUUUGUAAUGUGCAAGCGACAGAGUGUAUGUGGUUAGGGUAUCAAUGUAUGUGGAGGCUAGAGGUUAGGUACAGAUAUGGUAAUGUAUGUGGAGGCUAGAGGUUAGGGUACAGAUAUGGUAAUGUAUGCGGAGGCUAGGGGCUAGGGCACAGAUAUGGUAAUGUAUGCGGAGGCUAGGGGCUAGGGCACAGAUAUGGUAAUGUAUGCGGAGGCUAGAGGUUAGGGUACAGAUAUGGUAAUGUGGUGGAGGCUAGAGGUUAGGGUACAGAUAUGGUAAUGUGGUGGAGGCUAGAUGUUUAGGGCACAGAUAUGGUAAUGUAUGCGGAGGCUAGAGGUUAGGGUACAGAUAUGGUAAUGUAUGUGGAGGCUAGAGGUUAGGGCACAGAUAUGGUAAUGUAUGUGGAGGCUAGAGGUUAGGGUACAGAUAUGGUAAUGUGGUGGAGACUAGGGGUUAGGGCACAGAUAUAGCAAGUCCCAGAGAUUAUGGGGUAUUGUUAUAUUGAGUUCACAUGUACGUUCUUAUGAAUUGUGCCCUAGAAAGAAACGCUUGCAGUAACCAAGGACAACCAAGGAACAAGGGUGUGCCACACCAGUGCCCUCCCCAGUGUAUUGUAUAACCAUGGAUUCUUGUGUCAAGCGCUAUACACAAUAAUAAUAUCACUUCAAAUAGUCAUGUAGUUCUAUUAUACACAUAUAUUAUGGGUCAAUUAUCUAACCUAUGGUGCAAAUAAUAUUCCUUAUUAUAUUGUAUAUUAUUGAGAAAUAUAUUCAAACAUUAAAAACAAGACAAGGAUGAGGUCCUGUCUUUGCCACAACGUCAACGUAACGCUCACAUAUCUUUUUACCUGUAUGACUUUAUGUACAAACACAAAUCAGAGAGGUGUCUAAGGUCCUAUGUUUUUAACCAAAGACAAAGCACUCCUGUAUUAAGAUUGAAUCAUUCAUAUUUUUAAGCUUCAUGUGUUUGUAUUGUUAGAGUUUUGCAUUGUUUUUGUUGGACAUGAAGACUACUUUGUAUAACAGUGGUAAUAUAUUGUGGUCUGUUUUCUUAUUGAUCUUUAUAUGUAGUAAUAUAUUUUCUCACAUGCAGCUAGGAAAGUGAAAGUCAAAAGGAAACAUUUGUAAGGAAAAUAAUCUGUUAUAUGCUAUUUUUUUAAGAAAGCUUUGUAUGCACAAAUGAAUAUAAUAAAACAAAAGUUGUGGUACCAAA